AGGUCCUCCACGUCUAAGGGACAUCUUUUACAGGAUGGGUCUCUCGGACAAGGACAUAGUGGCCUUAUCAGGGGCUCAUACACUGGGAAGGAAACACCCGGAAAGAUAUGGAUUUGAUGGUCCUUGGACUCAGGAACCCCUUAAGUUUGAUAAUUCCUAUUUUGUCGAGUUGUUGAAAAGGGACGCAGAGGG